ACAGAAGUAGGAGAAGAUUGGAGAAGAACAGCGUCACAUAGGCUGCAGCAGAACCGACCAGUGACGAUUUGAUUUUCUUGGCAGAUCUCAGCAGCGGGAAGCCAAGAAAAGCUGCGGGCUGAAAUUUUACCUUCCUAAG